CAGUAGCCGCGGUAAUACGUAGGUGGCAAGCGUUGUCCGGAACUAUUGGGCGUAAAGGGCUCGCAGGCGGUUUCUUAAGUCUGAUGUGAAAGCCCCCGGCUCAACCGGGGAGGGUCAUUGGAAACUGGGAAACUUGAGUGCAGAAGAGGAGAGUGGAAUUCCACGUGUAGCGGUGAAAUGCGUAGAGAUGUGGAGGAACACCAGUGGUGAAGGCGACUCUCUGGUCUGUAACUGACGCUGAGGAGCGAAAGCGUGGGGAGCGAACAGGAUUAGAUACCCCCGUAGUCCCUGUCUCUUAUAC
rnacentral:rRNA from 1 species